AUACCGUUGCCUUUGUGGCUUGCUUAAUGGUGGAAAACACUGCCAGGCGAAUUGGUCAAAUGACCCCGUCGACAAUUUCGUACAUAAACACACAACAUAGGGCAACAACUGAAUAAAGGAAAAGACAAUUGAGAACAGAAUAUAAGGAAAUGCUAAUAAGGAUAAGGAAGAUAAGAAGAUAAAGAUAAGGAUAAGGAUAAGUAAGAUAAGAAGCUAAGGAUAAGGAAG